AGUCCGGGUGGUUUCUUCCGACCGACCGUCAGCACUCGACAAAUAACUGAGCAGCUGCUGGGGCCGGGAACACCGCGGGGACAGGUCAGAGCUGACCCUGAGCGACUCUACUGCCUCUCCCCGCCACGCCCACCUGCCCCCUGCGGGGUAGGACCCCGCAACCACCACUCCAGAGUCCUCUGCAGGGACUGCUGUUGCUACGGGAGAGGAAGCCAGAGGAAGGGGACGCCAUCUGGGGGAUGCUUGGGCCGUGGUGGCUGCAGAAGCAGCAGCAGCAGUGACGGCCACCGCCGCCAACCAGGGGCUUCUCCCUGGCCAGCGCAGCCACCUGGGCUCCGGGCAGCAGCAUUUUCCACGUGGCUCCUCCAAUCCUCACGAGACAGCAGCUCCCUGCAUUGCUAAUGGCCCUCACUGUGAGGAUAAUGACCAUACCGGGUCCUGGGAGACCUCCUGAACUGCAGCGGCAGGGAACCCCGACACCCAGUGAGUCUGAGAGCCUCACAGCUGCCCGCCUGGCUGACUCCCAUCAGGUCUGAAGCACCCUCCCGACAGUCAUGGUGGCUGUUUUUGUCUUUCCCAGGAGAAAUGAAUGGCACUGGCAACCUGGGCCUCGUGCCUGUUUUC
rnacentral:lncRNA from 1 species